rnacentral:rRNA from 1 species
CAGGUCACUCCUACGGGAGGCAGCAGUAGGGAAUCUUGCGCAAUGGGCGAAAGCCUGACGCAGCCAUGCCGCGUGAAUGAUGAAGGUCUUAGGAUUGUAAAAUUCUUUCACCGGGGAAGAUAAUGACGGUACCCGGAGAAGAAGCCCCGGCUAACUUCGUGCCAGCAGCCGCGGUAAUACGAAGGGGGCUAGCGUUGCUCGGAAUUACUGGGCGUAAAGGGCGCGUAGGCGGACAGUUUAGUCAGAGGUGAAAGCCCAGGGCUCAACCUUGGAAUUGCCUUUGAUACUGGCUGUCUUGAGUUCGGGAGAGGUGAGUGGAAUGCCGAGUGUAGAGGUGAAAUUCGUAGAUAUUCGGCGGAACACCAGUGGCGAAGGCGACUCACUGGCCCGAUACUGACGCUGAGGCGCGAAAGCGUGGGGAGCAAACAGGAUUAGAUACCCUGGUAGUCCACGCCGUAAACGAUGAGUGCUAGUUGUCGGCAUGCAUGCAUGUCGGUGACGCAGCUAACGCAUUAAGCACUCCGCCUGGGGAGUACGGUCGCAAGAUUAAAACUCAAAGGAAUUGACG